rnacentral:rRNA from 1 species
UAAGCGUGCGCAGGCGGUUAUGUAAGACAGAUGUGAAAUCCCCGGGCUCAACCUGGGAACUGCAUUAGUGACUGCAUAGCUGGAGUACGGGCAGAGGGGGAUGGAAUUCCGCGUGUAGCAGUGAAAUGCGUAGAUAUGCGGAGGAACACCGAUGGCGAAGGCAAUCCCCUGGGCCUGUACUGACGCUCAUGCACGAAAGCGUGGGGAGCAAACAGGAUUAGAACCCGGGU